UCACCUGAGGGGCCCAGUCGCGUCCGGCCUCCCGAGGGGGCUGCGAGUGUCAGUCGGCUCUGCGCACGUGUCCACGGCCAGGCGGAGCAGCCAUACAAGCUAUUUGGCAUAUGAAGGUCUUGACCUGAGAAAACCAUCUUGGAUAACCACAGCAAGGAAAAGGAAAAAUGCAACACCUAGGAGAUUUCAGUAAACAGUAGAAUCAUGCCAACCUAAUCUGUGUUAAAAUGCUUGGAAUGUGGGAGCCGCUGAUGAUGCCUGUUGUCUGUGUGUCUGACUGAAUCCUUUCUUUUCUCAGAGCAGCAAAGCAAAGCCUGGGAACCAGGCCAAAUGCCUGCCACUUACCUUAAAUUGAUCAGCCACUUUGAGAUUAAAACCCCUGAAAGCUGCCACACCGUGAAAACAAGGCCUCCUUCACAUUAAAGGCAAAUUGCGACUUUG